UACAGAGGGGGCAAGCGUUAUUCGGAAUUAUUGGGCGUAAAGGGCGCGUAGGCGGCUUUGCAAGUGACAGGUGAAAUCCCACGGCUUAACCGUGGAACUGCCUGUCAGACUGCAUGGCUUGAGACCAGGAGAGGUGAGUGGAAUUCCCAGUGUAGCGGUGAAAUGCGUAGAUAUUGGGAGGAACACCUGAGGCGAAGGCGGGCUACUGGGCCGAUACUGACGCUGAUGCGCGAAAGCCAGGGGAGCGAACGGG
rnacentral:rRNA from 1 species